ensembl:lncRNA
CAUCUGCAAAUAGUGAUAUUUUGACUUCUUCUUUUCCGAUCUGUAUCCCCUUGACCUCCUUUUGUUGUCUGAUUGCUCUGGCUAGAACUUCAAGAACUAUUUUGAAUAAGUAGGGAGAGAGUGGGCAACCUUGUCUUGUCCCUGAUUUUAGUGGGAUUGCUUCAAGUUUCUCCCCAUUUAGUUUAAUGUUAGCAACUGGUUUGCUGUAUAUUGCUUUUACUAUGUUUAGGUAUGGGCCUUGAAUUCCUAUUCUUUCCAGGACUUUUAUCAUGAAGGGGUGUUGAAUUUUGUCAAAUGCUUUCUCAGCAUCUAAUGAAAUGAUCAUGUGGUUUUGUUCUUUCAGUUUGUUUACAUAAUGGAUCACGUUGAUGGUUUUCCAUAUAUUAAACAAUCCCUGCAUGCCUGGGAUGAAGCCUACUUGAUCAUGGUGGAUGAUUGUUUUGAUGUGCUCUUGGAUUCGGUUUGCCAGAACUUUAUUGAGUAUUUUUGCAUCGAUAUUCGUAAGGGAAAUUGGUCUGAAGUUCUCUUUCUUUGUUGGGUCUUUGUGUGGUUUAGGUAUAAGAGUAAUUGUGGCUUCAUAGAAGGAAUUCGGUAGUGCUCCAUCUGUUUCAAUUUUGUGGAAUAGUUUGGAUAAUAUUGGUAUGAGGUCUUCUAUGAAGGUUUGAUAGAAUUCUGCACUAAACCCCUCUGGACCUGGGCUCUUUUUGGUUGGAAGACCUUUAAUGACUGCUUCUAUUUCCUUAGGAGUUAUGGGGUUGUUUAACUGGUUUAUCUGUUCCUGAUUUAACUUCGAUACCUGGUAUCUGUCUAGGAAAUUGUCCAUUUCCUGAACAUUUUCAAAUUUUGUUGAAUAUAGGUUUUUAUAGUAAGAUCUGAUGAUUUUUUGAAUUUCCUCUGAAUCUGUAGUUAUGUCUCCC